GAGAGAGAAACCUAAAGGUUAGGUGUUAAUCUGUCGCAUUAAAUAUUGCGGGUUCGAGUCCCGUCUCUCUCG
rnacentral:tRNA from 2 species